CGCUCUCACGAACCCCGGCCAAUCAGCGGCCCCAGGGGGCGGGGCUCGCGGUGCCUCAGGGGCGGGCGCCCGCCGGGCCGCUUGUUGUGGUCGUUAAGACGCGGGGCGGCAGCGCGUGCGCAGGAAAGGACCCGGAUACACUUCCCCAUCCCUGGGAGUGUUGAAGGCCAGCCUGGAUGGGGAUUCGGGCAGGCCGGUCCUGUGGGAGGUGUCCCUGCUCAGGGCCGGGGGGGAACGGGAUGGGCUUUCAGGUCCCUUCCGCCCCAAACCGCUCUGCGAGUCUGUGCAACGCCCCCAGCACUACCGGUGGACACGUGACAGCGGCCGCGCUGCCUCCUGGGACACGGAGUGCGGCGGGGCCGGGGAGGCGGCCGGGGCAGAUUAACGCUAAGGCGGCUCCGGCGGCUCCUCGCGACCUUAGCACGGGCGGCCUUUGCUCAGGGCCAAGCCGCAGAGCCAGCAGCGAGACCUUGCGCUCAGGCCGAGAGGCUCCCAGUGUUGUUUAGCUGCUGGGAAUUGAACAGACAGAUAAGAACCAGGCCUGUAAAGCUACUAUUGUUGCUAGACUCCCUGUUCUUCUCCUGUGAAAGCAAGUAAACACCCACAAGGAAGAAUGGAACAUACUGCUUUGGCAAGAACUCGUACUUUCAAAUUUGCUGUUCUGGGGAAGAUUGAAGUUACAUGUAUCAGCCUAUAAGCCCUCCAUUACCUGCUGAAGUAAUGAGUACCAGCUUCUGGAACACCGUAACAAUGCCUUUGCAUGGGCGUGGUCAUUGCAGGCACACAGGUCUGGCUUGCAAAGGCAAAGGCCCCACUCAAAUGUCCAAGAAGAGCCCAUAUCUAUGUUUCACCACUCAUCUGUCUCUAUUAAAACAGCUCAAAUAAAAGGAUGCCUCUUCAGAGCAUGACUGAAUGUCCAGUAACAUGACAGUAGACACAAAAUCCAGGCAGCAAGAGUGGUCAUCAUAAGAAUAAAGCCUGAUUCUUCCCAUUCCUAUUCAAGUCUCCAAGAACCAUGAAGGGCUGCCUAAAUUUAAUUUCCAGUACAUCAUUUUUCAUCCAAACACCCUCUCCUGUGAUUUUUAUUACUGUAAUUUCUUUAUUAUUCUCAGUGGUGCUCUCUGUGCAGAGACCAAAACCCAUUUUCGUACCAAAAGCCAUUUUUAGAGCACUAGAACUGCUGUUUAUGCCAGAUAUGUGAAAACCUAAUGUACAUCUAAAUUUUCCACAAACAAAACAUGUAUUAAGUUGAAAUAAGCAAGAAAAGUAGUAGCACCUUUCAGAUUUGCCUAUCAAAAAUGUUAAGUUCAUAAAUUACCAUUCUGAUUUUUGCAUUUCAGCACCUUAAUCACUUUGUGACUAGUAUAUGCUGACAGAUGAGAACUUGGAAGAAAAGAUUUGAAUCGAUUUCUACCUUUCCAAAUUCAUAGCACAGAUAUGGCUUGUUUCCAUCAUCUCCCAGUGUGCUCCCACAAAAAACCAAAUGCAGUAUUCAUUCACAAGUAGUAAUCAAGGACCCAAGCU